ACGUCUCGGCUUCGGCCCAGAGGGAUCCGAACCAGGCAAAGCAGAAUGUACCAAGGACACAUGCAGGGGAAAGGCUCUAGGGCGGCAGAUAAGGCUGUUGCCAUGGUGAUGAAGGAACUACCGAGGGAGGAGUCUGCAGAGGAAAAGCCCCUCCUUACUAUGACAUCACAGCUGGUGAAUGAGCAACAAGAAAGCAGACCCCUCUUGAGCCCCUCCAUUGAUGACUUUCUCUGUGAAACCAAACCAGAAGCCAUUGCCAGGCCAGUAACAUCAAAUACAGCUGUAUUAUCAACUGGUCUGGAUCUCUUGGAUCUGAGUGAACCUGUCUUACAAACCCAAAGCAAGACAAAGAAGUCAGAGAAUGCAUCAAGAGGUGAAAACUUAAAGGCUUCAACCCACAGAAAGAAGACAGACAACUCAGACCUUAUAAAUGUGGAUGCUGAGCAGAAGGUCCAGAGUGGGAGAGCACCAGAGAAAUCAUCAUUAGAUUUAGUAAAUAUUCAGACACAGCUCGAGAAAUGGGAUGAAGUGAAGUUUCAUGGAGAGAGGAACUCCAAGGGUCAUUCAGCUACAGAACGAAAAUCUUCAUCAUCUAGAGCUCCAUCAAAAGAGCUUUUAUGGUCUACAGAGAACAGGUUGCAGUCUGAGCUGACUAGUGUCAAAAGUGCUUUGGAGUCCAAUUCAGCAUCAGAUUUAGAAUUAGUACCUGCAACACAGGCACGAUCAACCAAAGAGCAGCGUUGGGGAGGUUCAUUCCUCUCCAGAAAUCACUCCUUGGAGGAGGAAUUUGAAAGAGCAAAGGCAGCUGUUGAGUCAGACACAGAGUUUUGGGAUAAGAUGCAAGCUGAAUGGGAAGAAAUGGCUCAGAGAAACUGGAUUUCAGAGAACCAAGAAGCACAUGGCCAAGUAACUAUCUCAACCAGUGAGAAGGGCUAUUAUUUUCAUACCGAAAACCCUUUCAGAGACUGGCCUGGUGCGUUUGAGGAAGGAUUGAAAAAACUGAAAGAAGGAGACCUGCCCCUCACUAUCUUAUACAUGGAGGCUGCCAUUCUACAAGACCCCGGUGAUGCAGAGGCCUGGCAGUUUCUUGGUAUAACACAGGCAGAGAAUGAAAAUGAGCAAGGAGCUAUUGUCGCCCUCCAAAGGUGCUUGCAGCUACAGCCAAACAAUUUAAAAGCUCUGAUGGCCUUGGCUGUGAGCUACACUAAUACUGGCCAUCAACAGGAAGCUUGUGAAGCUUUAAGAAACUGGAUAAAGCAAAACCCAAAAUACAAGUAUAUAGUGAAGAGCAAAAGAGGGUCUCCAGCACCUACCAGGAGAAAGUCUGAGCCAUCAAAAGAAAGUUCAUUACUCGAAGAAGUAAAGGAAGUGUACCUAGAGGCAGCUCACCAGAAUGGUGAGAUGAUAGACCCUGACUUACAAACAGGACUUGGAGUGCUUUUCCAUCUGAACAGAGAAUUUAACAACGCAAUAGACGCAUUUAAUGCUGCCUUAACUGUUCGGCCAGAGGACUAUUCAUUAUGGAACCGCCUUGGAGCAACCUUGGCAAAUGGGGAUCGAAGUGAGGAAGCUGUGGAGGCAUAUACUAGAGCUUUAGAAAUUCAGCCAGGCUUCAUUAGGUCCAGAUACAAUUUGGGAAUAAGCUGCAUCAACCUAGGAGCUUACAGAGAGGCUGUCAGCAAUUUUCUCACUGCUCUCAGCUUGCAAAGAAAAAGCAGGAAUCAACAACAGGUUACCCAGCCGGAAAUUUCAGGCAAUAUCUGGGCAGCUCUCAGAAUCGCUCUGUCUAUGAUGGACCAGCCAGAACUAUUUCAAGCCGCUAAUUUGGGUGAUCUGGAUGUUCUGUUAAGAGCUUUUAACCUAGAACCAUAAAAAAAAAAGCAGCCAAGUCACUAAGAUGUAUUAGGAAAUGCAAAACUCUUUCAUUACCAGUUUCAAAAUGACCAAGGACACUUUCCAAAAGAUCGUGAGCCGUAGAACACUAUGGGAAGUUCUACCAGACAUCACUCAAUUCCUGGAACUCUUCAAAAGCACAAAACUUUGUAAAUACUAUUGAACUCGAAGGAUUAAAAUGAACAGCAGCUAAUCUGACAAAGACCUGACCUAGAUGAAGCAGUCAUACCCGAAGAACCCAUCCCGUGCAAGAUAUGCACAUAUAUACACUCACACCUAUACAGAAAAAAUAUAUUUAAGAGAAAACCUAAUAAUCAUUGUUGCACAUUAGAGUGGGAAGCAGCACAUCAAAGGAACCUUAUUGCUCACUGCACUGAAUUGACACCACACGCCCCUACAAUGUGGAGUCCCUAUACUUUGUUUGUUGGCCACUCUCUUCAAGGUCCUACUUCCACAUAGCUCUGCCAGGAGGCAUAUAUUGGGGACAGAGAGCUCUCCGGGAAAACAUUCUAGAAGAGAUGCAAGUUAGUUACCUUCUUGGUUAGUUGAUCAAUAUGGACAAUAUGAAAAAAGAACAUGUGACAACAUUAAAAAGGAGGAAGAUUACAGGGUCUGAACACAGAAUAGCAAUAACUGCUGGGGGAGAGGGGAUGGAGGAAGAAUCAGAAGGAAUCUAAAUUUUACUAAGGUAGGCCCUGAUCCUGCAAAAGCUCUCACAUGUAAGCAGUCCCAUUGAGCAAGAUUGCCAGGUGAGGACCUUCAUAUGCUUUGAUCUCCCCCACCCUCGCUCCCCACCCCUUUUGCAGAAUUUGUUGUUUACCUUGGCAGAAAAAUAUCCUUAAGUUAGCAGCCUUUUUAAUAUCAUCAGUACUCUAUUGUAAAUUUAGAAAAAUCAAAAUGUUUAUAUUUAUAUAUAUCUGAGUACAACAUAUCUAGACUAAACUAAAAAUACAUUGUUUUGAAAGACAUUCUGUGCUGUUUCUGCCAUGUGCUGCAUACUGUUUUUAAAAAAGUCCUUACAUCUUGCACCAGGUUUUAGCUUUAUUUUUAAGCCAAUUUACGGCAGACAGGAAAGAAGAGAUUAUAAGAUCUGUGCAUAGUUACACCUGGACAACCACAAUGACUUCACAAAUGCCAUGAUCCAGCAAAGGCUUACAUGCAUACUCAACUUUAUACACUGGUAACCCAUGGUUAAGUACACAUGUAAGCCUUAGAAGGAUCAGGGGCCUAAGGAUGCAAAGGUGUGAACUAAAGCCGAAUUUAACCCUGUAUUUGAAUAUUUACAUUCUGUUUCAAAUCGACCCAGACUGAGCAAUCUGAAUCUAUAUAUAACUAUGGGGUGAGAGGUUAGUCUCUCACAAUAGGUAACUUUGCCUCUGUAUACUCAGUGCAUUACUAGCCGCGAAUAAAUAUUAAAACACAGAGCUGCAGUUUACUGAUGCUUCAGUUUGAUGUUCUCUUGCACUGCUCUUUAAAAUAAACCACUUCCUUACAAAUGAAUUGUAUGUAUAUUGAUGUGUUAAGCGUAUAGAUUUCAAUUUGCAGAGCACCAGUUAAUGUAGUAUUUUUGUACUGUAUUGGAAGCAUGCCUUCCUGUGAUUCUUUUUCACAUAUUAAAUUGUAUUUAUAACUGUGCAAUUUUUAAAUGUUUUAAAA